AGUUUCUAUUGGCCUGACUUCUCUUAUCCUUUAAUACUGGGAGAAAUUUUUGAGUAAAUAGAAACUGACCUGGAUUGCUCCAGUCUGAGCUCAGAUCUUAUAGGAUUUUAAUCGUUGAACAAACAAACUUUUAGUACUGGCUGCACACUGGGGAGUCCUGACCCAACACUGAGGUUGUAAACCCUAUUGUUGAUAUGAACUCUGAAAUAGGAUUGCACUGUUAUCACUAGGGUAACUUGAUUUGUUGAUCAAAGAUUAUCUGGGACAAUAUGCAAUUGAAACUUUGACUUGUUGAGUCUAGGUUAAAAUCAGUUGGAGGUUGAAUUAUUCUCCCAGGUCACCCCAACCAAAGUUAUUAAUUCA